rnacentral:rRNA from 1 species
CCUACGGGAGGCUGCAGUGAGGAAUAUUGGUCAAUGGGCGCGAGCCUGAACCAGCCAAGUCGCGUGAGGGAGGACGGCCCUACGGGUUGUAAACCUCUUUUGCCGGGGAGCAACGGGCGUCACGUGUGGCGCCACUGAGAGUCCCCGUAGACAAAGCCUCGGCUAACUCCGUGCCAGCAGCCGCGGUAAUACGGAGGAUGCGAGCGUUAUCCGGAUUUAUUGGGUUUAAAGGGUGCGUAGGCGGAUCGUUAAGUCAGUGGUCAAAUUGAGGGGCUCAACCCCUUCCCGCCAUUGAAACUGGCGAUCUUGAGUGGAAGAGAAGUAUGCGGAAUGCGUGGUGUAGCGGUGAAAUGCAUAGAUAUCACGCAGAACCCCGAUUGCGAAGGCAGCAUGCCGGCUUCCGACUGACGCUGAAGCACGAAAGCGUGGGGAUCGAACAGGAUUAGAUACCCUAGUAGUC